CAAAGACCGAUAAUCGUGUACACAGUCCGUGCGGCGUGCGCCAAGGGGUACUCAAGGGCUGAUUUUAUUUGCAACCGCGGGAAACGAAGUCACCAAGACGCCUUCAUUUGAGGCUUUUGGAAUUGGAGAAUUUAUUGAAUUUAGGUAUGGCUCUCGUCCCUUCUAGAGAACUAACCAAGACCCUGUGGGGGCAGAAGGAGACUUCUUUGGCUCCGUGAAUACACUAGCUAUGCGGUGGUCUAGUUCGUUUGAGUGUGUGGUUCGUAUUCAAAGUGUUCCAAGCCGCAGUUCACUCGAAGGUCAUCGUGGAUACGUCUGCACUUGAAAAUCAAGGCUGGAAAGGACUGCCUGGUGUGUCCGAACGGUCAUUGGCAUGCUGUCUGUUUCACAGAAGCUCGUGUACCAGGUUCACCGUACAGCUAUGAAUGCAAUGUAGCGUGUCGAAGCCACUUCGGUGUGACGUGAUGCCUAAUGUCCUGGUUGUACCAAAAUUGCGAGUAUGCAAGUGAUCGUCAAGCCUGUCCCCUGUACUCGUACAGUAGCCGUCUUGCCUUGUUACGCCUGGUUCUGAUUCUGCGUUCUCGUAUACUCCAUGCAAUGUUACAAGGAAUACUGCUCCCUUCUCAAGCAAUUCAUUGGCAACAAAACGCUCGGCUAUGCCCUGUAUCUUUGCUGUGCGGUUUGUGCUUUGUCAAUGUUGUGUACCAGUUCAUGAUCUGUGCUUGCUGGUCUGUUUGUUUUCUCUCGAACAAUUGAGGCGCUGUAGCACCGUGUACAGUGUCAAUCAUUCUGCCCAGGCUCUGAUCUCACGUACCACAGUACGGUUUCUCUUGUUGCUCACUGUAAUGUGCAUGAUACAAGCUCCUUGGUACUCCAUCAUCACCUGGUGCUGUUGCUGCCAUUGUUGGACCCUGCUGAUAUCCUUCUCGCAAUGCCCGAACGUUGUUCCAACAAAUGCACAACUCGCUCUUGG